CUUAAUAUAGGAUGCCAUUCUUUUUGUAGAGGAUAGAGACAUUAAAGGAAUGUGUGCAGGAUACGAACGGGCAGGCCUUCUAAAAUCGACGAAAAGCUCACCAAAUUCACUAGUCGGGUAGUCAAUACGCACUCUACAUCCAUUCUCUAUUUUUGAGACCUUAUUAUCCAAAAUAGAUUGCAAAGCACUAACAUCAUCAUCCCAUUCGGUACUAUUUGGUUCCAAAGAUAUAUUCCCAUCAAAGCUUUCACCAAUUAGAUGCUGCUGUAAGUACUCUGAACUAAUUUGAAUGUUAUUUUCAAAAGUUUGAAGAGUAGAAAAACAUAAGUCAAAGCUAUAGCCCGUCUCCGAAAUCCCUGUUAAUAGUUAGUGUUGAACAAAUGUCAUACGCACAUACGUUUAGCGUUGUAGUGAAUGGCCAGAUUCGCUGAAUUUAGAUUCUGAACAGAUAUUCCUGUUGUAUAAUCAGAAGGAAGAAAUCUUGUAGGAAGAUCGUCUUCUGGAACAUGAAUGAUUAGCCACUCUAAAGCAUCUUCAAGGGAAACACAGUACUGACAAGCUUCUUUAGCAUGAAUGUCUCGAAAACCUAAAGAAAUUAAAUCAUUAACAAUAGAAGUAUCGGGCUCUAAAUUUUUUGUAUCCUCUAGUAUAUCCCACGUGUUCAUAUUGCGAAAAAGGUUCUCUAGAGAGCGACGAUUUUCAAGACUCAUGUGAAUAGGAAGAGCAUAUUUGAAAUUGAACUUUGAGAAGUGUGAAAGGCUUGUGUUUUUGAUAGAUGUCAAAGAGACCUUUUCAUUUUUCUGAGAUGCUUUUGGCGGUGGUUUGGCAGCUGAAGAAGCGCGUGCUGCCUGUAGUUCUUU